rnacentral:piRNA from 1 species
UACUUCAUGAAUGGUUUGAUGUUACGCC